rnacentral:rRNA from 1 species
GACGAACGCUGGCGGCGUGCCUAAUACAUGCAAGUUGAGCGAUGAAGGUUGGUGCUUGCACCAAUUUGAAGAGCAGCGAACGGGUGAGUAACGCGUGGGGAAUCUGCCUUUGAGCGGGGGACAACAUUUGGAAACGAAUGCUAAUACCGCAUAACAACUUUAAACAUAAGUUUUAAGUUUGAAAGAUGCAAUUGCAUCACUCAAAGAUGAUCCCGCGUUGUAUUAGCUAGUUGGUGAGGUAAAGGCCCACCAAGGCGAUGAUACAUAGCCGACCUGAGAGGGAGAUCGGCCACAUUGGGACUGAGAAACGGCCCAAACUCCUACGGGAGGGAGCAGUAGGGAAUCUUUGGAAAUGGACGAAAGGCUGAACGAGGAACGCCGCGUGAGGGAAGGAGGGUUUCGGGUCGUAAAACUCUGUUGGUAGGGAAGAACGUUGGGGAGAGUGGAACGCUCAUCAAGUGACGGUAACUACACAGAAAGGGGCGGCUAACUACGUG